rnacentral:misc_RNA from 1 species
AUGCAAAGGUGCAACUGUCAUUACAGCUGUAUUAUUUUAUGUUUAGUAUUUUAUCAUCUUCUGCCCUCUACUGACUUGAAUAAGUGCAAACCGACCAAGAUCCAAAACCUUUCAUUGAUAUCCAUCUAUCAGAUAUCCAAGAAUAUAAUGCAAAAGAAUAUUUACCAAUCUGGUAACUAAGAACUGAAGAAAAUGUAAGGAAAAAAAAAAUUCACAAAA